UUUAAUUAAGUUUAAAUAGUCUUUUGAUCCUUGUAAAUUAGCACGUUUUUUAUUUUUGUUCUUAAAUUUUUUUUUGGUUUGAGCUCAUAUAUUUCACUUUCUCGUUGAUGUUAGUCUCUAACGUUAAAACUCUGUUAAAAAUAAAUAAAUGUGUUAAACGGUGAUAAUGUGUCAAUUGUUUUAUUAUUAUUUUUUUAUAACACCUUUUAUUACAUGUGGAAAUGUAACAUGAAGGUUUUAAAAGGGGACAUGAAAUCAAAAAUUUAAAUGAUUUUGCAAUUUCUUCUUCCUCUCUUCAAUACUAUUGUCUUCUUCUUCCUCUCUUCAAUACCAUUGUCUUCUUUUGCUU
rnacentral:lncRNA from 1 species